ACGGCUCUCCUUCCUUAUAGAAAAAGGGAAAAAGAUCCUGAUCUCAGAAACGAGCCCUUCCCGGCGGCGAACGCCCCGUCUACGAUAUGAUGGGAUCUCUUCAUCGUCCAUAGCUUUCCCUUGCCUGUACAUGUCAGCCCACAGCACGACGGCUUCUACCAGCACUCCUCCAUGCCAGUAACUCGAGAUAGGAAAGGAAGGAUCCGGCACCAAUUGCCUAGAGACGAACGACCCACAGGUCAUGUGAUACAGAGCCCAGAAAAGAGCACAACUAGCAGGAUUGCAUGUGCAUAAUUGAGCAGAUUUUCCGUUGGGGAUCACUGCUGAAAUUUCCUUCACUUAUCAAUUGAGAUCAUUGCCUACACCAGGUUAGAGAAGAUUUCAUUUGAAAAUUGAUCAACCACCUGACUGGAUGGGUUGCGUACACCAGAUCAGAUCAUGGGUGGCGCGGAGUCCUACUAUCAACCUCUGAUGUUCUCAUCGCCUGUGAAUGAGGCAUGCCAGCGCACAACAGGUCUCUCCGUUAAGGAAAUCAGGUCACCGGGCAACACACGUCGCUGUCUUCGUGUACCAUGGCCAAGGUGCCAGAAUAAUGGUUUUCCCCGUAAAACUCCAUGGAGCAAUUAUAGAAGGUUAGCACCAUCAAUAGUCCUUCAUGAAACAUUGCCUCCGGCCAUGUCGAUCACCAUAAAGUUUCAGCUUCAGCGGGUUGCGGAUCGAUGAUCGCAGCCAUGUACUCACAUCUGACCAUAGAAGCACCGAGCAGCAUGCAACAUGACAUGGAGCAGGUUCUGAUUACCAUUGUACUAGGGAAAAUUAUGUUGAUUGAUGCUGCACGUUCGUAAAGCUGUCUUUUUCAGUUAUUCAUUUUUGGAAGGGCAUCGAGGAAAACCUGGAUCUAUAUACAACAUAUCAUCACGUACUGCAUACAGACUUGGUAUAUAUAAAUAUAAGGAAGUUCUAUCUGCCUCCUAUAUAACAUUUACUUAUUCUUGAUCACGAUCGAUGUUGUGCAAUCAAGACUCACCGGCGAGAGCGUUCUUGGUUUUCUUGCCGAUCUCAUGAAUUCCGCAUCAUGCAUCAUGUAUCAACAUACAGCAAAUGUGUACCCAUUAUCUUUUAGUUUCUCAACAUAAUUUUAUA